GAUGAACGCUAGCGGCAGGCCUAACACAUGCAAGUCGAGGGAGGAGCUUUCGGGCUUCGACCGGCGUACGGGUGCGUAACGCGUAUACAAUCUGCGUUUCACAUAGGGAUAGCCCGAAGAAAUUUGGAUUAAUACCUAAUGGUAUAUAGGAGUGGCAUCACAUUUAUAUUAAAGCUGAGGCGGUGAAAGAUGAGUAUGCGUUCUAUUAGCUAGUUGGAGAGGUAACGGCUCCCCAAGGCGACGAUAGAUAGGGGUUCUGAGAGGGAUAUCCCCCACACUGGUACUGAGAUACGGACCAGACUCCUACGGGAGGCAGCAGUGAGGAAUAUUGGACAAUGGUCGGAAGACUGAUCCAGCCAUGCCGCGUGCAGGAAGACGGCCUUAUGGGUUGUAAACUGCUUUUGCAGGGGAAGAAUAAGGACUACGAGUAGUUUGAUGACGGUACUCUGCGAAUAAGCAUCGGCUAACUCCGUG
rnacentral:rRNA from 1 species